rnacentral:misc_RNA from 1 species
AUGUGAAUUUUGAAAAUUGAAGGUUGCCUACCCAUCAUGGUUGGCUCAAUUUUUACAAAUGGGAUAAUCCCAAGUUGGGAUAAUUGGUUGCUUUGGAUAUUGCUCUUUAUGAUUUUCUUCUCAUGAAAAAAUCAGAGUAACUAUGGUUAGUUCCAUGAAAAUUAGGUACUAGAGGGUGUUCAAAUUGAUAUGCUUUGCUUAUUGAUCUUGAUGUUGCUGCUAUUCUAGUUUUCAUGAGCUCUGUUGUUUUCAUCUUAUGAUGUUGUUCUUUGUUGAUGUUUGUGAAAUCAUACAAGUGACACAUUGAUUGAUGCCAUGAAAAUUACACAUGGAGGGUUUUCAAGUAACAAGGUCUACUUACCAAAUUUCAUUAUUUAUAAGAAUGAAGCAUGGCCAGUGGGUAUAUAGAGGCAUGCAUGCACACCUGUCGUAAUAUCGCUGGACGAGGGUUGUUGAUUGUAUUGCUGAUACGCUGUUCUGGUUCUUUGCAGUCUUAUGGAAUAAAAGUUGGAU